rnacentral:rRNA from 1 species
CCUACGGGAGGCAGCAGUGAGGAAUAUUGGUCAAUGGCCGGAAGGCUGAACCAGCCAUGCCGCGUGAAGGUCAGUGCCCUAUGGGCGUUAAACUUCUUUUGUGCGGGAGCAAUAAUGGUCACGUGUGGCCAGACGAGAGUACCGUACGAAUAAGCAUCGGCUAACUCCGUGCCAGCAGCCGCGGUAAUACGGGGGAUGCAAGCGUUAUCCGGAUUUAUUGGGUUUAAAGGGUGCGUAGGCUGUGAGGUAAGUCAGCGGUGAAAUGCCCCCGCUCAACGGGGUGAAGUGCCAUUGAUACUGCCUGGCUGGAAUGCGGAUGCCGUGGGAGGAAUGUGUGGGGUAGCGGUGAAAUGCAUAGAGAUAACACAGAACACCGAUUGCGAAGGCAUCUCACGAAUCCGCGAUUGACGCUGAUGCACGAAAGCGUGGGUAUCAAACAGGAUUAGAUACCCGUGUAGUC